rnacentral:lncRNA from 1 species
UAUCUCGAUCCAUGUGUUGACAUGAUCAAAUUACAAUGUAAUUCUAUAUAAUUACCUCGAAGGACUUGCAAAACUUGUACAUUUCAUUCAUACAACACAAAAUAAUAUUUAAUACUAAUUAUUUUUGGUUAUCUUUCUUUAGGUACCAAAGGAAAAAGUGAAACACCUGUGAAAAGAGGUAGAUCUGCUAAAGACAGUGAAGAGGUAAUAAUGCCUUAAAACACGUGCAAACACGUGAUUUUAUACCUGAUAAAACACUUCUACUCCUGAUACUCAUGUUUUAAGUAGGCCUAGUACUUAAAAUUAUGACACAGUGAUACAUGGGUUUAGAGCAAUGCAAGUGCAUUUUGUUAAUACAUGCUGUUAGCUGGUGUAUGAUCACCUUGAUACUGUAUUUGAUAGAGUAUAUAUUUGUAUAAAGUACUGUGAUACAAUAUUUAACUUUAAUCAUGCACUUGUAUCUGGAUAAUAUAUAUGUAUUUGGGGGGGGGGGACAGUAUGCAGGUAAUGGCGUAUGCAAAUUACAAUACAAUACAAUAAACUUUAUUUAACGAGGGUAACACCAAUUAAAAACGUAUUCUCCCUAGUGGCCCUCAAAUUAUGUGGUUGAAAUGAUUUUCAGCAACUGCAUCUCUCUCCUCAAUAAUAUUUUAUUCUCAACAGGCAAAAGAUGAAGAUGGAGAGAAAGGCGAUGAUAAGAAAGGGGAGCCGGCAGGACCAUCUCCCAGUAAAAAGCCAAGACCAGCUGCGUCAUCUGGGACAUCUGAUGUGAAAGAAAUUGUGUUUUCUUUUGAUACAACAGGUUCUAUGUAUCCGUGUCUAACUCAGGUGAUGAUCAGCCCAUGUGCAAUAUAACCAGCAUUUCUAAGAAUAUUCUGGUGAAAAUUUAAGAGGGUCACGCGAAGAAUUCGUUGCUUAUUUCGGUUUUCUGCUGUUUUCUGCUGUAAAUCAAAGUUUAGAAUCACAAUCAAAUGAAUCAAAUGACAAUUAAGUAAGGGAAAUGGGC